GAUGAACGCUGGCGGCGUGCCUAAUACAUGCAAGUCGAGCGAACGGACGAGAAGCUUGCUUCUCUGAUGUUAGCGGCGGACGGGUGAGUAACACGUGGAUAACCUACCUAUAAGACUGGGAUAGCUUCGGGAAACCGGAGCUAAUACCGGAUAAUAUUUUGAACCGCAUGGUUCAAAAGUGAAAGACGGUCUUGCUGUCACUUAUAGAUGGAUCCGCGCUGCAUUAGCUAGUUGGUAAGGUAACGGCUUACCAAGGCAACGAUGCAUAGCCGACCUGAGAGGGUGAUCGGCCACACUGGAACUGAGACACGGUCCAGACUCCUACGGGAGGCAGCAGUAGGGAAUCUUCCGCAAUGGGCGAAAGCCUGACGGAGCAACGCCGCGUGAGUGAUGAAGGUCUUCGGAUCGUAAAACUCUGUUAUUAGGGAAGAACAUAUGUGUAAGUAACUGUGCACAUCUUGACGGUACCUAAUCAGAAAGCCACGGCUAACUACGUG
rnacentral:rRNA from 1 species